rnacentral:tRNA from 2 species
GCACUCGUCGCCAAGUAGCAAGGCACGUGGCUGCAACCCACGCAUACCUCGGUGCAAAUCCGAGCGAGUGCU